GAUUGCAAAACUGGCACUGUCCCCAGGAAAUCCAUACUGUGUGAUCGCUUGUCCAACAGAGGAAAAGCAGAGAAUCCUGAGAUGCCCUAGCUGGAAGGGCUGCGAGUUCACUGGGUUUUCUCCAUUGUAUGACAGAGGAGACAGGCCCAGAGAGGGGAAGGGACUUGCCUGAGAUUGUGCAGCAGGUUUGCAGCAGAACAGAGGCCAGAACCAGUCUUUCCUGUUUCCAGACCAGGGCUUCUUCCCAGUACUGCACUAUGAACCCAGUUUUGAGCCUGUGCAUAAGCCUGUUGACCUCUCUAGAGGGUAGGCUCUGGAAGUAGGUAAACUAAGUGGUAGGCUUUGAAUAGUGGGCAUUGUUAAUCAAAGGGGAAGGAGUGAAGACAGCAAGACUAGCUAGUAAAAAAUAAAAUCAACUAUGUUAGCAACUUUAGGAGAAAGUCAAGUUCAUGAGACUUUAUAGAGACAAAAUAGGGAGAAGCAGCUAGCAGAACUGCAGUGUUUUGCAUUUUUGUGACCACAAAUGUUAGGUGAGCCUGGAACACAGUGAAACUGACCAAGUAGGGUUAAGGUUUGAGUAAGGGCUAAACUGUUGAAAUGCUAUUCCUGGUCACUCUGGCAACUGGGUCUCUUUCCCAAUGCUGAAGGCAUUAAAAUAGGAUAAAACAUGCAAAUGCACCAAAUCGGAAUCAAAGGUGUAGUCAUACAAAGUCUGGAUUGCUCCAUUUUAAGGAAAGGUCUAGAAGUUUAUGCCUCAGAAAGCAAAUGAAGACAUGAGGGGAAGAAUUUGAAUUACAUAUAUAAAGAUUAAAUUAGUCCUGCAAACAUGCAUACUCAUUUUUCUUCCCAUUGACUCUGGUCACACGCAUCGUAGAUAAUGAAUCAUGUAGUCGCGUGCUCUAUUGUCUUUCCUGUUCUACUCAAUAAUACAGUUGCCAGUAAGAAAACAUGCUCAUUCUUCUAGGGAUCUAUCUAAAUUGGUCUGGGUUGUAGAAUAUAGAGCAACUUGCUGCUUAGAUGAGUGGUUCCCAAACUUUAACAUGCAUCAGGGGCACCUGGAAGGAAUCUGCAGCUGCUACAUAGCAGAUUUUGAGAUCACUCAACUGGGAGUCUCCACUCCCUAAAGCAGGAGCCCAAAGCAGAAAUCACAAUGUGGGGCCAGGGUCACUGGGCAUAUACUUUAUUCUAGGCCCAUCACCCAAACAGGUGUGUUAAAUUUGUCCUCCUUUCUCUUCUUUGAAGUUGUAACCAUGGUACUAUUUGUUUUGCGUUGUCUGCACUGUGUCUGGGGAAGUACACUUUUCAUGUGUGUACUAGCACCUGCUGGGAUGCACAGUCAUAGCUGUAGAGCUGGAAGGUCCUGAGAAACCACAGAGCCCUUCAUUCUGUUCUUUUUUGCAUAGCAGUGCCUCUUUUUAUAGAGGAUGUAUUAGGCUGUUCUCGCACUGCUAUAAAGAAAUACCUGAGACUGGGUGAUAUGGUUUGGGUCUGUGUCCCUGCCCAAAUCUCAUGUCAAAUUGUAACCCCCAGUGUUGGAAGUGGGGCCUGGUGGGAGGUGAUUAGAUCCUGGGGGCAGAUUUCCCCUUUGGUGUUCUUGUGGUAGUAAAUUAUUGUGAGAUCUGGUUGUUUAAAAGUGUAUGGCACCUCCCUGCCUCUCUCUUCCUUCUGCUCCGGCCAUGUAAGAAGUACCUGCUUCCCCUUUGCCUUCUGCCAUGAUUCUAAGUUUCCUGAGGCCUCUCCGGCCAUGCUUCCUGUACAGCCUGUGGAACUGAGUUUCCCUGAACAAGCUCUCUUUGCCUGCUGCCAUCCAUGUAAGACGUGACUUAUUCCUCCUUGCCUUCCGCCAUGAUUGUGAGGCCUCCCCAGCCAUUCAGAACUGUGAGGGUUCCAGACUCCAGAGUCUCCCUUUACCUAGUUCUUGGGAGUCUAGUGCAGCUGAAGACGAGGUACUGCGGAUGAAGAGGAAGACGAGGUACUGCGGAUGAAGAGAAACCCAGAUGAUCCAGGCACAUUUUAUAGACAAGGCCUCAACGACCCCAAAGGAACCUUUGAAAUCACCCUUUUCCUGGGUUCAUGACGACUUAUAAACGAUACCAUCCAUCCCUGCUUAUUCAUACUUAUUAAAUACCAGAAUAAAGAGAUUAGAGCUCA